rnacentral:rRNA from 1 species
UACGAAGGGGGCUAGCGUUGCUCGGAAUCACUGGGCGUGAAGCGCACGUAGGCGGAUCUUUAAGUCAGGGGUGAAAUCCCGAGGCUCAACCUCGGAACUGCCUUUGAUACUGGGGAUCUCGAGUCCGGAAGAGGUUGGUGGAACUCCGAGUGUAGAGGUGAAAUUCGUAGAUAUUCGGAAGAACACCAGUGGCGAAGGCGGCCAACUGGUCCGGUACUGACGCUGAGGUGCGAAAGCGUGGGGAGCAAACAGG